GAGUGAUCCGCUCUCUUCAGCCUCCCAAGUAGCUGGACCUACAGAUGUUAACCUCCACACCAUCCCUACAUCUUCCAUCGUCUCCCAUCAAUACCCCUUUCCAAACCAGCUCUGUAUUCCAAGUUCACCUGCAAGGAGAAUGCUGCCUUAAGGAAGAUGCAGUUGUUAUACUGAAAGAUGGAUUUACUCACUCAUUCAGCAAAUAUUUAUUAAGUGCCUAUCAUGGGCCAAACACUGCCAGGCGCUAAGCAAAAGAGCCUGUCUGGGUGGCACUGAUGAACUAGAGGAGGAGACAGAGAAGUGGCCACACAAGUAUAUAACAACUGUAAUAAGAGCUGUGAGUAAAAUACAGGCAUUAUGCAAGGACAGAGCAGGGACCCCACCUAGGCUGUGGGUAGGGAGUGUUCUUCAAAGGAGCAGUAUUUAAGAAGUCCACUGGGCAGUGCGUGAGGAAUGGGAGAAAUCUGAGGCAGAGGAAAUAGCAUAUGCAAAACAUGCCACUUUUAAGAACUGAAAAGGGGAUUCUGCAAAGCCUAUAGUGGGGCAGAGAGGGGACUAAGCCCCAAUCCUCCAGGACCCCACAAGUCAUAUUUUUGGGUCAUCGUAAGUGCACUGGUAAGCUACUGAAGGGUUUUAAACAAGGGAGUGAAAUGAUCAGAUUCGCAUUUUAAAAAGAUUUGCUCCAGGUAGAUGCUGGAGUAUGUACUAAAAUUCUCUUCAGCAUCCUCUAUUAGGUUUUCCAUGGAAUGUUCAAGUCAAGUCCCCAUGAAUUUUUUUCUAGGUAUCACAAAUUCCUUUGCUGUGUGAAUUUUAUCUCCUCAAUUAGAUAAUAAAUGCUGGCCAUGGUAUUAAACUACCAGAACUUAAGACACUGCCUGCAUUUGGGCUAGCUUGCCUGUGACCUAUACCCUGCCCCCCAAACCCCUAAUAUUUAGGAGGAAACUGAGAAGGCCUGACAAAUUUCAGCUACUCUGGGCUAGAGACCAGGAUCAGGUCUCUGGACUUGUCUUCCAGGGGUUUAUCUGUUACCCCACUCUGUUAUUAAAAAAGAAAAUAUUUUUCUUUAAACCAAUGGAUUAUUCACUGCAGAGAAAAAUUAUGGGAUUUCCUUCUCUGAAGGUCAUUAAAGUAUGAUAAAUCUAAUCUGGGAAGAACAGAUGUGGCAUAAGCAAUGGCAGGAAGGAAGAAGAGAGGACACUGUAGGGAACCCUGGCUGUGAUUGAGAUGGGGAGAUGCAGAAUGUAGGCUUGCUCCAUAUUUUAAACUCUAGGAUGGGAACAGCAAGGACUGAACAUGUCUGUGAAGCAAAGACAACACUGACCCUGGCAGCCAGCACGCAUCUUUGUGGACUCGGCUGAGAAAAGUGGACAGCACACUGUUUCCAACCCUUCAUGGCUUCUCUACCCAUGCGGACCCGGAGCAUGACUUAGCCAACAGGCAAAUUUAAAGGCAGAAGACAGAGUUCUGGGGGUACUUAAGCAUACACUCAGAAAAUUCAAACUACCCACUAGGUGGUCUCCAGCAAGGUAUAUUUUGGGUUAGCUUACCUCUAGAGGCACCUGCCUGUUACUGUCUGCUUGCCUGCCAAGAGUCCUGCUAUAGGUGGCCCAUACUGCCUGAGGUCCCUACAGCAUCUAGAAAUCAGGUAACAUACCCUCUGCCCACUAGUUAUUAUUCCCAAUUGUCAACACACAUCACGUUAGCCAGUGUCAGGGGUCUAUUUGACUCAGAAACUCUUUUGACCCCCACUGGCCAGAACUGGGAUAAUUUGAGCCUCAAAAUAAUGUAAUUAAUAAUAGUAACAAAUUACAAUCCAGUGAAUAAACUAGGUAUCUGUGAGGUCCAUUGUGCUAUAGUUAACACAUACACUAGAGUGCCAACUAAUAAAUACACAAGGAAUUAUGGAAAACUCACCAUGUAGCAAAUGUUCUAACAGUGGCCGAUUCAGGCAAGAAUCACCACUGGAUGCUAAUGCUGGUGGGUGAAGAUUUCCUACCGAAGAUUAGGAUAUUGGUGUGGUCUCAAAAUACCUCACCAUAAGAUAACAUCAAUCACAAAGGAAAAAAUGGUGACUCUGUGGUGAGAAAGCAGACAAAUAACCACCCUGAAAGGUGACUGAAGUUGAUGUCGCGUGCCCUGUACAAUGCACUGAGGAGAGCAGAGCAUCACUUCUGCAGCGUCCUGCCAGGAAGGCUGGAGUCUGGAGUCACUGACGGAUCCCGCUUGAAACACACCCUACAGAACAAAAGAGCGAUGUGCCAGGAGCUCCAUUAUGAAGAAUGACUAAAAGUUCCUUUCUGUGGCAUUAAAUAUCUUCAACAAUUUAGCCCCAAUCCAGCAGCUCCCACGUUUCUCCUCACCCUGGCCCUCAACAUACUGAGCAACUUUGAAGCCUACCUACCUUUGCUCAUUCUGUUCCCUCUACCAGCACGCUUUUCUCCGUACUGUUCCAUCUUGGAGGCCCAACCCAAAUUUCAUCCUUUGUAAAGCCUUGCUUACUCCCAACUGCUCUGUCCCGGGAAGAACUGUCACUUUCUUCCCUCCAUUUUCCUAAAACACUUUGCCUGUGUAUACUGACUCAUAUUAUGGUUAGCAGGCACAUGCCUACCUGUCUGCCUGCCCCACCAGGCUGUGUUUUGGAGAGGCAGAAGUCAAGCAGUAUUUAUUUUUGUAUCCUCCAGUGCCCCAGCAUGGUGCUUGGGACACGGCAUGCUUCAUGUCUGUUGAAAUGAAAAACUCCACAUCCAGGCAUCUACUCACGAGUAAGUAUGGUGGAGGAAGAGAUGUAGUGAUUUAAAGCAGGCUCUCUCAGGCCAAACUGCCUGCGUGUGAAUCCUGGUUCUGCUGCUUUCCACUGUUGGAAAGUUAGAUUAUACUCCAACUGCACAGUCAGGAAAAUAAAAGUACCUGCAUCACCAUGGUGUUGUGGGCAUGAAGAACAAUGUGUCUACCAUUACCACUGGGAUUACUGGACCACCCUCUGCUGUUUGGCAAAACACACAUCCUGGGCACCCCAGAGACAGUCCAGUACUCGUCCCCUCUCCCCUGCACCCCACUCCCAUGAAGUCAGGGUUUGAGGUGUUCAUGCUACUUGUUCAAGAUCAAGUAGGCUUGCUAAAUUCUUGGGGUCUACGUUGGUUUCUGCUUCCUAGCGUGGACGCGGGAGAUGCCAGCAGAGCCCUGCAGGGGAUGUGCAUGGGUAGGUGUGCACCGGGGCUCCGGCAGAAUGGCGCUUGCCAGUCAGGUACGGGGGAGCCCGGUCCUGCAUCAGUUAUACGCAGGAAGGACAUAAAACGAAACAAAAGCAAAAGUAGACAAAAACCCCUCAACUUUUGAAAGGUAUACUAUGGCCAAGUUAACAUAUUUCCUUCCCAUCAUAAGAGGACAAAGGUGAGCACUGAUGUUUCUGAGCACUGUCCUCCCUGUCUCUCCUGACGCGCUCAGAGCAGAGACUCUCGUCCACGCACCAUGCACGGACCGUGCUUUGGAGCCGCCCAGAGCACCUCCGUGGUGGUCACCCAGAACAGCCAGCCUAAGUUGGGGGAAGGUACGGUUUUGUUUUUGUGAACCAAGAACAGGAGCUACAAUUGUCUCCUAGUUCACAGACAAGCAAUGGCAGCAGAGGCCUGGAGCGGCGCCAUGCAGUGACAAGAUCCAUAUGCCUACGAUGCCUGGACUCUGAUUUCCAAGGCUGCUUCCAGACCAUGACUAACUGUUGACUAUACUUGACACAACACUUUACGCCAUGGCACGCCAUGUGAUCCAGUGAGGAAAAAUCAGUCGCAGCAGGUGUCAGACCAGGUGAGCGCAGGCACACAGGGCGGGUGGCCCAGCUCUCUUCACGUGCCAUCGCCAGCACCUUUCCCGUUGCAUCCUAACUGGCAGGACUCGGCGAUCCCCAAAUGCAGUGUCCCUUCAGCUGUAUGGUCAGUUCUACUCUGGGCACGGCGCAGGGUGAGGAGGAAGAAAGCAGAAAGGGUUACUGCUCCUGGGAAUGGGGUGGAAUGGCCUCUGUCUUAAUAAAGGGCACAUUGUGUUAGGGAGGCACAUGACAGUAGCAGGGACCUUGCGGUUUACACAGUGGCUCUCUCCUCCAGUGUUCAGCGCCAACCACAAGGUGCAGCAACUCUGUCUCGAAAUAGCCACGAUGCCCCGGGCACCGCAGUCCCUGCUUUUUACCAACCCAGGCCACGGUGCUCUCUAACGCCCACUGUCUAAUAUGAAGAAUUCCUGCUGAAAUAUGGCCCAAAUCCAUCAUGCAUGCACGGGAGAGAACAAACUUGGGAACUAAUUGCUGUUUUCCAAACUUUCUGCAAAAAUAACAUGCUGCUCUAAGU